rnacentral:rRNA from 1 species
GACGAACGCUGGCGGCGUGCUUAACACAUGCCAGUCGAACGGAAAGGCCCUGCUUUUGUGGGGUGCUCGAGUGGCGAACGGGUGAGUAACACGUGAGUAACCUGCCCUUGACUUUGGGAUAACUUCAGGAAACUGGGGCUAAUACCGGAUAGGAGCUCCUGCUGCAUGGUGGGGGUUGGAAAGUUUCGGCGGUUGGGGAUGGACUCGCGGCUUAUCAGCUUGUUGGUGGGGUAGUGGCUUACCAAGGCUUUGACGGGUAGCCGGCCCGAGAGGGUGACCGGCCAAAUUGGGACUGAGAUACGGCCCAGACUCCUACGGGAGGCAGCAGUGGGGAAUAUUGCACAAUGGGCGGAAGCCUGAUGCAGCAACGCCGCGUGCGGGAUGACGGCCUUCGGGUUGUAAACCGCUUUCGCCUGUGACGAAGCGUGAGUGACGGUAAUGGGUAAAGAAGCACCGGCUAACUACGUG